rnacentral:rRNA from 1 species
UACAGAGGGUGCGAGCGUUAAUCGGAGUGACUGGGCGUAAAGGGCGCGUAGGCGGUUAUAUUAGUCUGAUGUGAAAGCUCUGGGCUUAACCUGGGAUAGGCAUUGGAAACGGUAUAGCUAGAGAGUGUGAGAGGGAAGGGGAAUUUCCGGAGUAGCGGUGAAAUGCGUAGAUAUCGGAAAGAACACUAGUGGCGAAGGCGACUUUCUGGCACACAACUGACGCUGAGGCGCGAAAGCGUGGGUAGCGAACAGG